GACGAACGCUGGCGGCGUGCCUAAUACAUGCAAGUUGAGCGCUGAAGGUUGGUACUUGUACCAACUGGAUGAGCAGCGAACGGGUGAGUAACGCGUGGGGAAUCUGCCUUUGAGCGGGGGACAACAUUUGGAAACGAAUGCUAAUACCGCAUAAAAACUUUAAACACAAGUUUUAAGUUUGAAAGAUGCAAUUGCAUCACUCAAAGAUGAUCCCGCGUUGUAUUAGCUAGUUGGUGAGGUAAAGGCUCACCAAGGCGAUGAUACAUAGCCGACCUGAGAGGGUGAUCGGCCACAUUGGGACUGAGACACGGCCCAAACUCCUACGGGAGGCAGCAGUAGGGAAUCUUCGGCAAUGGACGAAAGUCUGACCGAGCAACGCCGCGUGAGUGAAGAAGGGUUACGGAUCGUAAAACUCUGUUGGUAGAGAAGAACGUUGGCGAGAGUGGAAAGCUCAUCAAGUGACGGUAACUACCCAGAAAGGGACGGCUAACUACGUG
rnacentral:rRNA from 1 species